rnacentral:rRNA from 1 species
UACAGAGGGUGCAAGCGUUAAUCGGAAUUACUGGGCGUAAAGCGUGCGUAGACGGUCAUGUAAGUCGGGUGUGAAAGCCCCGGGCUCAACCUGGGAAUUGCAUUCGAGACUGCAUGGCUAGGAUGCGGAAGAGGGAAGCGGAAUUUCCGGUGUAGCGGUGAAAUGCGUAGAUAUCGGAAGGAACAUCAGUGGCGAAAGCGGCUUCCUGGACCAGUACCGACGUUCAGGCACGAAAGCGUGGGGAGCAAACAGG